rnacentral:rRNA from 1 species
ACUCCUACGGGAGGCAGCAGUGGGGAAUAUUGCACAAUGGGCGCAAGCCUGAUGCAGCCAUGCCGCGUGUAUGAAGAAAGGCCUUCGGGUUGUAAAGUACUUUCAGCAGUGAGGAAGGCAGGUACGUUAAUAGCGUGCUUGUUUGACGUUAGCUGCAGAAGAAGCACCGGCUAACUCCGUGCCAGCAGCCGCGGUAAUACGGAGGGUGCGAGCGUUAAUCGGAAUUACUGGGCGUAAAGCGCAUGCAGGUGGUUUGUUAAGUCAGAUGUGAAAGCCCGGGGCUCAACCUCGGAAUUGCAUUUGAAACUGGCAGACUAGAGUACUGUAGAGGGGGGUAGAAUUUCAGGUGUAGCGGUGAAAUGCGUAGAGAUCUGAAGGAAUACCGGUGGCGAAGGCGGCCCCCUGGACAGAUACUGACACUCAGAUGCGAAAGCGUGGGGAGCAAACAGGAUUAGAUACCCUGGUAGGAUAGCG